CAGGGCUCGGCUCUGUUAAGCACUCUGUGUGGAGCGCAGUGGAGGAAUCAGGAGCAGGAGCAGAUCCAGCAUGUCUUCAAGAGGUUUCUCUUUCACUAUUCUAAAGCACACAACUCCGUCGGCUCCGUCGAGAGAAAGUCUCACUCGGUUCAUCCGCUCAUGCGUCUCUCGCCGAAGCUCUCUCUGCGCAGGAAGAAGCAGCAGGUG